rnacentral:lncRNA from 1 species
AGCCUUAAAACGCGUGUCGAAAUGUAACGUAAAGAACCUGGUGGGACGGAGGGAGUAACAAUUAAGCAGAUUCACAAAUUAGAAUCGCAGGUAAUCACAUACUGAACUUCAGGAAUCAAUGAGCAAAAGAAUAAUACUGGUCUCCAUCCUUGAUGGUUCCACCCUGUGGCUCGAUACCGCCACUAAGUAGAUACCACCUCGUAACGCCUUCGCAGUCUGAUCGCGACUUCGAAUGGUGUCACAAGUUUUCCCCGUUUAUUGCUAGCAUAAGGGUUAUCGUUUUUAACCCUUUAAGUUGUCCCACAUAGAGAUAGUAAUAACUCUUCUCUUCCACGAAUUAGAAUCAUUCGUGUUGACCAGUUUAUAAGAUUCUUCCCCAGAGUACAGGAAAUGCCCUCUUUUUAUCAACAAAGCUCCAAAGUCAUUUUCUGGUGGGAACGAAUGCACCUUUGCGAUAUGAAGUCAAAGUCAUUUUGGAUUACGAAGAAUCAUGUAAUCCAAACCAAACAACGAACGAGAGUGUCGAUCAUACUCGGUUAUCAAACCUUGUACGAAUCAUUUAUCCCCUUGAGUACAAGAAUAGGGUUCUAAGAUUUGAAUACGAUAGCGAAUGUAAUAAGAAUUUAAGUCAAUUAUACCCUUGGGGUAGGAAUAGAAUUAGUUGCUAACCGAAAGUUGUACAAGAAUGUCAUAUCUUCGUAAGAAUGAAUGAAUUCUAGUUAGGGAUCUAGAUACUUGAAUGAUCAAAAUUGGUGAAUAAUCAUAAAUUAAAAUCGCUAAUUGAUUCGUUCUUGGAAUGAAAUAUUGACCUAAAGAAAUGAGUUAGGCAUUCGAGACGAAAGCAAAGUGAAGAAUUACAUAUCGAGUUAGUCUUGUAGCAAAAUGAAAGUGCCAAAAUAAUAAUAUAAUUUCGACAGGAUUACAUAAAUAUAAGGGUUCAAAAAUUGAAAUAAUUGAUAAUCUCUUUUGAAAGGUGAGUAAACCCGAACAAUGGGUAAACUCAAAUCACGAAAUAAAAUUAGAUAAUAAAUACGCGAAAUGAACGUCCAAUCUUUAAAUAACUGCUUCUGCUCGAUCUUCAGGAAUACUCGAGUAUAAAAAUAUCGGGAUUGCAAGCAAAAUUUCAAAUAUCAUGGUAUUAUAUCUAACAAAUAAAUAAUGCACAUUAGCAUAACAAAAGUAGGGAAUAAAUAAACUUGCAUGUCGUCCCUUGCUAUAAAAUUCCGUCUCAGAUAGGUCCGCCUUUCCGAACAGUAAAGAUUCUAAAUCACAUAAAGUAAUGAAUUUAAUAUAUUUUACUUCGAAGGAAUUAUUCUCGAAGAAUGAAUAUUUAUAUUUCCUCUUUACUAGGAUUAGGUUCAAUAAUAUUAUAAAUAUCCUUUAAAUCUUUCACUAAGAAUUUCAUAAUUUGUUAUUCUCUUUAGGUAACUAUCCCUAAAUAUUUAUAAAUUAUUCUUCGGUUCAUCUUUUAUACUUUUAUAACCAUAUUUUAAUUAAAAAUUCCUAAAUUAAUGAAGUGUAACAAAAUGUACACUUUCAAUGAACCAUAAGCUCAUUUAUUAACUACCUUUCUAAUAAUCCAAGAGAUUCUCUAAUUAAUUCACGAUAAAUAUCAAGUCCACGAUUACUAAAUUAAUAAUAAUAACUCCUAUAAUCUCUCACACUUAUAAUAUUUCCGGUUCAAUCAUAUUCCCUAGUAAUUUAAUUAAGUGUCACAUAACACUAUCCCCUUAAUAUUUCUAAUUUUUUAUCUCCAAUCAACUAAAACCCACUGAAUCCAAUUUUAUAUCUGAUUAUCUUUAAUUCUCAACUUUAUUUAUCUAUAACUUUAAUAGUCCACAAAUUCACCAACUCAUGUGGACUAUACUUAAAUCUUAUUUUAAUAUUUUUCCCCAAAUUAAAUUAUAUCCACCAUUAUUCCAAUUCUAUUUGUAUUUUAUUAAUCAAUUCCAACUCAUUUAUGAUUUUACCAUUAUGCCCUCGUCUCCCCCAAAUCCUACCAUCUCCCUCACCCUCUCUCUCUCCCUCCCUCCCUGCCCAAUACCCCCCGCCGGCCGGAGCUCGACUCCGGCGGCCUCUACGCCGCCCCGAACUGCCAGCUCCUCUCUCUCCCCCUCCUCCCUCCCUCCCUCUCUCCCUCCCCCUCUCUCUCCCCCUCCCCAUUCGCGCACUCUACUCAAACAGUACAUAAAUAUUUUCACGAGUUUUUGAAUGGAAUGAUGGAAUUUGCAAAAGAAAUCAUUGUUCCUACAUCAACAAAUCAAAACUCAAAUAUUUCUCGGAGACAAAGAGAACUAUUAAAAAUAUUUUCGGUUAGUAUAAUCAUGAUUUUAUUUGUUACUUAUAUCUUAAUACUUGCAAUAGGGGCAAUUAAUGAUGUUGUUGAUUACUUAUGUUUUAGUUGUUCCAGUUAACCAACAAGCUCGAUACAGAGGAAGAGACAGAUGUGAAUGCUAUCAAAAUAUUUUAUGCAUUUAUGAUUUUAAUAUGGUAUUCAUAUUCGUAUGGGCCGGAUGGGAAGGAAUAUCACAUGAUUCAAAAAUAUUAGUUGAAGUUGCGCUUAAUCCCUACUCUAGCUUCCCGAUUC